UAUUAACUGUUAAUGUCGGGUACAAUUACAACUCGAUUUAAAAGUUUCCUUUUGUUCUUCGGUGUUUCGUUUACAUGCAACUCAGAUCUAAAUGAUUUGUUGGGAACUUAUGAGUAUUAACAAUGUAUGGGGUAUUUGAGUCUUUUCUUAUGUAUCUAUACACAUCAGCUAAAUGAAGGAUAUUAGAUUACUUAGUCAUUAAGUUUGGACAGCUGCUAUAUAAGGCUGGAUAAGGGUGUAAUUGUUUAGUUUUUGUUCAGUUAAUACAACAACUUCUUUUGCAAGUCACUUUUCUAUCUCGUUCUCUCUUCUUCUCUUUUCUUCUGCGAUUUCCAUAGUUUCUUGCAUUUAAGCUUUUCUGAAUGUUUCAAUGGCUGAACAUGCCAUUGUUAUGAUGGUAUCAAGAGCUUAGGUUUGGUGAAUAUGUGAAGAGGAUCCUGACGGGCUCAUCAAGCUUUGGAGUUUUUUUUUCCCGCCGAAUCUGCGAGGCGGUGGUUUCUGCUUUUGUCGACGGAGUUUUGGUUUCGGUUCGUCGGUGCUGACUCAGGUUAUAUCCACUUGAUUUUGGUGUUUUCUGGUCCAUAUUUUCUGGCCUUUGUGUUUAAUUUCAUGGUAUGGCUAUGGAUCUACGAUUUGUUGAUGUGAUACAUGUUAGGGCAUGAAGCCUAUUGUGGUUUGCUUACUUGAUGUGUUUUUGAGCACGAAGCUCCUUACAGUUUGGGCACGAAGCCUUGAUUUCUUCUAAAUUGCUGAUUGUUUGGGCACGAAGCCUUGAUUCUUUCUGAAAUUCUUUUUGCCAUUGCUGAUUGUUUGGGCACGAAGCCUUGAUUCUUUCUGACUUGCUGAUUGUUUGGGCACGAAGCCUUGCUUCUUUCUGAAUUGCUGAUCGGCACGAAGCCUAUUGUGAUUUGCUCCUGUUUGUUUCCUUUCUUGGUUCUUGUUGACGUCUCGAUAUGAAUACACUCAAAGUGGAAAGUCUUCUUGGUAUGUUCACCAUUCGGCUGCAAGAUGAUAAUUUUGUCAAGUGGUCUUUUCAAUUUCGAUCGGUGCUUGAGGGAUAUGAUUUGUUUGAUCACUUUGAUGGCACAUCGGUUUGUCCACCGAAGUUUGUGUUCACUGAAGCUAAUGGUAUCACUACUGAGAUUACAGCAGCUUACAAGGAAUGGAUUAAACAAGACCGCGCUCUUGUUAGUCUUCUUCUUGCUACAUUAGGUGAUGAGGCUGUGGAAUAUGUUGUCGGUUGUAAAACUGCACAUGAAGCUUGGAUGAAUUUGCAGGACAGAUAUGCUACUGUUUCCAGAGCACGGGUGAAUCAUCUCAAAACUGAAUUGUUGACUAUCAAGAAAGGGUCUGAUAGUGUUGAAAAAUAUAUGUUGAGGCUUAAGGCUCUUAAAGAUCAGCUACUGGCGGCAGGUGAAGUAGUGUCUGAGAAUGACCUUAUUGUUGCUGCUCUUGCGGGUUUACCGGCUGAGUUUAAUAUGAUUCGUACUGUGAUUGUGGCUCGUGAAACUCCUAUUUCUUUAAAAGAAUUCCGAGCACAAUUGUUGGCUGCUGAGAGAACAGCUGAUGAUUCGCAGUCUACUUUGCAUUUUCCUAUGUCAGCCAUGUAUUGUCAAGGAGAAUCUUCUAAUGCUCAUUCCUCACAAGAUCAAGGAGCUUCUCAGUACUUCUCUGGUGGCUAUGGUUUUGUCACUGAAGCUACUAAUUCUUCUCAAAGUACUGCUCACAGACCCACUGGUGGCAUAGUUUCUCAGGCUUCUCUGCCUCAUUUUCAUCAACAAGGAAAUGGGAAUUUUCAGAAUCAUAGAGGAUAUCAGCAUAAUGGUGGAAACAAUGGAAGAUUUAACAAUAGGUCCAGAUACAAUGGGAAUAAUAAUGGCAGAUUCUCAGGCAAUUCCAAUGGUUUUCCUGGAGGAUCAAACAGUAAUGGUUUUUCUGGAGGAUCAAACAGCAAUGGUUUUCCUGGAGGAUCAAACAGUAAUGGUUUUUCUGGUAGUUCUAAAGGAGGUUCAAAUUGGCAGAAUUGGAAUGGAAAUAGUGGUUUUAAGCCAACAUUGAUUCCUGAAUGUCAAAUAUGUCAUAAAAGAGGCCACACCGCUACUAAUUGCUAUUCAAGGUAUGAUGCCAGCUCAAGCUCUGCUCCUCCAAUUCUGGAGUGUCAAAUCUGUGGGAAGAAAGGUCAUUCUGCUCUCAAUUGUUAUCAUCGAGGAAAUUAUGCAUAUCAAGGUGCUCAACCUCCUUCUUCUUUCAAUGCUUUCACUGCACAAGCUCAUCCAAACCUUCAUUCUUCUUCUCAACAAAAUUGGGUGCUCGACACAGGGGCUACACACCAUAUGACAGCUGAUCUGGAUCAUUUGACACUUAUUACUCCUUUUGAAGGCACUGACAGGAUCACAGUGGGCAAUGGAGAAGGUUUACCUGUAGCCAAUACUGGUUCGGGUUCUCUUUUAACUUCUUCCAAACCUUUAACCCUUCAAAUGGUUUUACAUGUUCCUCAAUUAGCAGCUAGUUUAUUAUCUGUGUAUAGACUAUGCAAAGAUAAUCACUGCUAUGUUAUACUUGAUGAAUUUGGUUUCUGGGUGCAGGACAAGGCAACAAAGAAAGUUCUACUGAGAGGAAGGAGUAGUAGUAGUGGCUUGUAUUACAUUCCUCAGCAGCAGUUUUUCAACUAUUCUCAGCUAGUAAAUAAUACACCUCAAGCUCUUUUGGGACAACUUGUGACGACUUCAAUUUGGCAUCAACGACUUGGGCAUCCUACUAAUGAAGUUCAGUUGAAAAUGUUGAAGGAGUCUCAGAUAUCUGUCUCUUUAGAUAACAGUCCACAGUUAUGUUCAGCUUGUAUUAGGGGUAAGAUGACUAGACAACCAUUUCAUUCUCACUGUAAUAAGUCUAGUGUUCCUUUUGAGAAAGUGCAUACUGAUGUAUGGGGACCUUCACCCACUGUAUCUCUUGAAGGUUACAGAUAUUAUGUAAUCUUUGUAGAUGAAUGCACAAGGUUCACUUGGAUCUUUCCUCUUGUUAAUAAAUCUGAUGUCUAUUCUGUGUUUGUUAAGUUUCAUGCAUUUGUUUAUAAAUCAUUUCAAAUGCAAUAUUAAAACACUGCAAUCUGAUGGCGGAGGAGAGUAUAUGAGUAGGUUGUUUAAACAAUUUCUGGAUACAAAUGGGAUAUUACAUCUUGUCUCUUGUCCUUAUACCCCUCAACAGAAUGGGUUGGCAGAACGGAAACACAGGCAUAUUAUUGAGACUACUGUGACAUUAUUGAGUGCUGCAGGGUUACCUCAACAGUUUUGGUUUCAUGCUUGUAGUCAUGCAGUGUUUUUUGAUUAAUAGAAUGCCUUGCCAAAACUUAGAAAUGGUGUCUCCCUAUGUUAAAUUGUUUGCCCAAUCACCAUCUCUGAGUUCCUUAAAGAUUUUUGGUACUGCAGUCUAUCCCUACUUAAGACCUUAUAAUGUCAAUAAGUUACAAGCUCGAAGUGAUGAAUGUGUGUUUUUGGGCUACUCUAUUGGAUAUAAGGGAGUGUUGUGCUAUAAUCGGAAUACACAAAGGUUAUUGUUAUCAAGGCAUGUCAUCCAUGAUGAGAAUGUGUUUCCUUUUAAGAAGUCUCAUUCUUCUGUCCAUAUUUCUUCACCGGUUGUUUCCUCACAGCAAGAGUUACCAAGAAUGAGAUAUAUUGUGGUUCCUAAUUCCUCUACCCCAACAAGAGAAGAAAUUGGUGGAAAUGAUCAAUCUGUGGAUAUGCAUUCUAUGGCAUCUCAAUCUUCCAGUCUCUCUUCAAGUCCAGUUCUGCAUUCUUCAUCAGAUAUACAAGCUACUACACUACAUCCCUCUCCUUCUUCCUCUCAAGUGUUGCCUGUCCUUGAUCUUGACCAAAAUCAGGUAUCUUCAUCUCCUGUUAUACAUACUUCUUCUGAGCAUAAUAUGGUUACACGUUUAAAAAGUGGAGUCCUGCAGCGAAAAGACUACUCUGCUUAUUAUGCUUUUGCCUCAAAUACUUCUGUUGAUAAUGAUGUGAUGUUUUGUGGAUUCACUGCGAUUCUUAACAUUCAUGAUUCACUAGAACCUUCUCAUUAUAAACAAGCUGUUCUUUCUGAGGAUUGGAGGAAUGCUAUGAAGGAAGAAUUUGUGUCUUUACAAAAACAAGGUACUUGGGAGCUCGUACCACCUCCGGUUGACAGAAAUGUCAUAGGGAGCAAAUGGGUGUACAAGAUCAAGAAGGAUCAAGAUGGCAAAGUGUCCAGAUAUAAGGCACGUUUAGUUGCUCAGGGUUAUAGUCAGGAACAAGGAUUGGACUAUGAUGAGACUUUUAGUCCGGUAGUAAGACAUACAACAGUGAGGCUGGUUUUGUCUCUUGCUGCUAUGCAAGGAUGGGAAUUGCGGCAGUUGGAUGUCAAGAACGCUUUUCUUCAUGGUGAAUUACAAGAAGAAGUUUUUAUGAAACAACCUCAGGGUUUUCAAGAUCCUCAGCAUCCUAAUCAUGUGUGCAAGCUUCUCAAGUCCUUAUAUGGUCUUAAACAGGCUCCAAGGGCAUGGAAUGCCAAGUUUACAAGUUAUUUACCUUCUUUAGACUUUCAGUCAUCUCAUUCAGAUCCUAGUUUGUUUGUGAAAGUGUGUGGGAAUGAUGUAGUGAUCUUGUUGUUAUAUGUGGAUGAUAUCAUCAUCACAGGUUCUUCAUCUUUCCUUAUUCAACAAGUGAUUGCUGAAUUGAGUAGUGCUUUUGAUAUGAAGGACAUGGGCAAGCUUACUUAUUUUUUGGGACUUCAAAUCACGUACAAAGAUAAUGGUGAUAUAUUCAUUAAUCAAUCCAAGUAUGUGACUGAUCUACUCCAUAAGGCCGGCAUGAUAAAUUGCAGACCUUGUUCCACUCCAAGUAAACCUCAUACUCAAUUGGUCAAAGAUGAAGGAGAACCAUUAGCUGAUCCUACAGUUUACAGAAGUUUAGUUGGUGCAUUGCAAUAUCUCACCUUUACACGCCCUGAUAUUGCAUAUGCGGUCAACUAUGCUUGCCAAUUCAUGACAACUCCAACUGAAGCUCAUUUCUGUCUCGUUAAAAGAAUCCUCCGGUAUUUGAAGGGUACAUGGCAAUGUGGAUUAACUUACUCUGCUCAAGCCAAUAUGGAUUUAUUGGCUUAUAGUGAUGCUGAUUGGGCAGCAGAUAUAAAUACAAGGAGGUCGACUACUGGUUACAUUGUUUUUCUGGGCUCAAAUCCUGUGUCCUGGCAGUCUAAGAAACAAGGCAGUGUUUCUCGAAGCUCAACGGAGGCUGAAUAUAAAGCCUUAGCUAAUGCAGCAGCGGAUGUGGCUUGGAUCCGAUUAGUUCUUAAGGAUCUCCAUAUGUUUCUUCCUUCAGUACCAUUGGUACAUUGUGAUAAUCUGUCUACAUUGGCAUUGUGUUCUAAUCCAGUUUUUCAUACUAGGAUUAAACACUUAGAUACUGAUUUUCAUUUUGUUCGUGAACGGGUGCAAAAAGGUGAUCUGCAGGUACAGUAUAUUCCCACUGAGGCUCAGAUUGCAGAUGUCUUAACUAAAGGAUUACAUAGUCCUCUGUUUGUUCAUCAUUGUUCCAAUCUCCGACUGGGAUAUCCCAGCUGAGAUUGAGGGGGAGUAUUAACAAUGUAUGGGGUAUUUGAGUCUUUUCUUAUGUAUCUAUACACAUCAGCUAAAUGAAGGAUAUUAGAUUACUUAGUCAUUAAGUUUGGACAGCUGCUAUAUAAGGCUGGAUAAGGGUGUAAUUGUUUAGUUUUUGUUCAGUUAAUACAACAACUUCUUUUGCAAGUCACUUUUCUGUCUCGUUCUCUCUUCUUCUCUUUUCUUCUGCGAUUUCCAUAGUUUCUUGCAUUUAAGCUUUUCUGAAUGUUUCAAUGGCUGAACAUGCCAUUGUUAUGAAUGAGAAAGGAAAGAACGAAGCAAACAAGAAAAUCCGAGCUAGGUGGUCAUGACGAAGUAUUUUUAUGUCCCGUGCUAGGAAGCAUUACUCUUCCCUUUCAUUCCAAAUUAACAAUAUGGCCGAUACGGUUAACUAGUUUGUGUGCCUCUCCUACUUUUUGUAUCCCAUUCCCCCGGUUUUUCGGAUACGUUUUGAUCCUCCUACGCCAAAUCUAAAUUUGUGAAAAAUAACAUAAUUUAUGCGCACUAUUUCUCACUUUUUUAAUAUUCUUGUGUAUUUUUAGUUAGGGAUUUUAU
rnacentral:lncRNA from 1 species